rnacentral:rRNA from 1 species
CCUACGGGCGGCAGCAGUGGGGGAUAUUGCACAAUGGGGGGAACCCUGAUGCAGCGACGCCGCGUGGGUGAAGAAGCGCCUCGGCGCGUAAAGCCCUGUCAGCAGGGAAGAAAAUGACGGUACCUGAAGAAGAAGCCCCGGCUAACUACGUGCCAGCAGCCGCGGUCAUACGUAGGGGGGAGGCGUUAACCGGAUUUACGGGGGGUAAAGGGGGCGCAGACGGCGAUGCAAGCCAGGAGUGAAAGCCCCGGGCCCAACCCCGGGACUGCUCUUGGAACUGCGUGGCUGGAGUGCAGGAGGGGCAGGCGGAAUGCCUGGUGUAGCGGUGAAAUGCGUAGAUAUCAGGAGGAACACCGGUGGCGAAGGCGGCCUGCUGGACUGCAACUGACGUUGAGGCCCGAAAGCGUGGGGAGCAAACAGGAUUAGAUACCCUUGUAGUC